AGUGAACGCUGGCGGUAGGCCUAACACAUGCAAGUCGAACGGCAGCACAGUAAGAGCUUGCUCUUACGGGUGGCGAGUGGCGGACGGGUGCGGAAUACAUCGGUAUCUACUUUUUCGUGGGGGAUAACGUAGGGAAACUUACGCUAAUACCGCAUACGACCUACGGGUGAAAGCAGGGGAUCUUCGGACCUUGCGCGAUUGAAUGAGCCGAUGUCGGAUUAGCUAGUUGGCGGGGUAAAGGCCCACCAAGGCGACGAUCCGUAGCUGGUCUGAGAGGAUGAUCAGCCACACUGGAACUGAGACGCGGUCCAGACUCCUACGGGAGGCAGCAGUGGGGAAUAUUGGACAAUGGGCGCAAGCCUGAUCCAGCCAUACCGCGUGGGUGAAGAAGGCCUUCGGGUUGUAAAGCCCUUUUGUUGGGAAAGAAAAGCAGCAGGUUAAUACCCCGCUGUUCUGACGGUACCAAAAGAAUAAGCACCGGCUAACUUCGUG
rnacentral:rRNA from 1 species